AUCCGCCAUCUUGCUGAUGGUUAGAGGGGCUGAAUGGCCACCUCCUGCUGUUUCAGUGUUCCUGUCCAGUGAUCCCGGAGGAAUAUGAAGAGGAAUGAGUGUUUAUAAUCAUAGACUGAUUUAAAUGAAACCAGCACAUUUCCUGUGUGGGUCUGAUUUGUGUGUUUUGGGAUGGGAUGGGAAUCGAAACUCUAACUCUGUGACCUGGGGUGGAGGGAAAAGGAUUGGGGAAGAUAUGGAGGGAAAAACUAAAUACGUAUCUGUUGUAAAUAGGGAAAUAAUUAAAUAAUAUGGGAAAUGCGGCGGUGGGUACGGCAGUGUGUGAAGGGCGAGGAACACUCACCGGAUCACGUGGGACCCUCCAGCGUCAUGUGAUCCCGUUUCGCUCAGAUCGGCAGCAACAUCUGCGGGUUUGAUUCCGAGGCCCCGCCCACCGCCUGUUGACGCAAAAAGCACAUUGCGCAUGCUCACAGUCCCGGGAUCGGCAGUGUUGGUUUUUCGUUGUGUGUGGAAGCGGGUCGACAGAGGGAUCGGGAUCGGGAGGGGGUCCUCGCCCCCUUGGAUGGGGAGCCGGAGACAGAUUAUUCUCUGCGGGUCAACACCAAAAAUUUUCCUUCGAGCAGCAAAAACUGAUCACAGCUGUCCUCAAAAUGGAUCAAGGUGCGAGCAGUGAAGGAGUUCCAGUGAUGUCAACAUUGGGAAAGGACACGGUAGAACAGUAAAACUGAUCACGCCUGUCCCCAAAAUGGGUCAAGGUUCGAGCAGUGGAGGAGUUCAAGUGAUAUCAACAUCGGGAAAGGACACAGGUCUGAGCUCAGCAAUCACCGAGCUCCUGACAAGCUGGAAUGAUUCCCAGCUGCUGCAGUUGACGGACUUCUAUCGGGACAGGCUGGAGCAGGCGAUGGAAGGAGGGGUGCACGGAGUGAGCCUGGCGUGAACGGCCGAGAAUCAGUUCAGCGGAGAGGAACAUCGGAAAAUCUCUGAUCUCGCUGAUAAGGGAGAGCGGGCGGACAGUUCUAAACUCCUCCUGAGCCUGGUGAUGGAGAAAGGCUCCCGCGCCCGGAGGAUGAUGUGGGAAACCUUUGUGAAAAUGCGGAUUAGUGUCCCAAAGCUGGACAAAAUACUGAAGGAAAUACAGAUAUAUGGUUGUGAUCCUUCCCAUCAAACAAUUCCCAGUCAAAUUUUACUAAAG